rnacentral:rRNA from 1 species
CCUACGGGAGGCUGCAGUGAGGAAUAUUGGUCAAUGGCCGGAAGGCUGAACCAGCCAUGCCGCGUGAAGGUCAGUGCCCUAUGGGCGUUAAACUUCUUUUGUGCGGGAGCAAUAAUGGUCACGUGUGGCCAGACGAGAGUACCGUACGAAUAAGCAUCGGCUAACUCCGUGCCAGCAGCCGCGGUAAUACGGGGGAUGCAAGCGUUAUCCGGAUUUAUUGGGUUUAAAGGGUGCGGAGGCUGUGAGGUAAGUCAGCGGUGAAAUGCCCCCGCUCAACGGGGUGAAGUGCCAUUGAAACUGCCUUGCUGGAAUGCGGAUGCCGUGGGAGGAAUGUGUGGUGUAGCGGUGAAAGGCAUAGAUAUCACACAGAACACCGAUUGCGAAGGCAUCUCACGAAUCCGCGAUUGACGCUGAUGCACGAAAGCGUGGGUAUCAAACAGGAUUAGAUACCCCUGUAGUC